rnacentral:rRNA from 1 species
GACAGAGGAUGCAAGCGUUAUCCGGAAUUAUUGGGCGUAAAGAGCUCGUAGGCGGUCUGUCGCGUCGGCUGUGAAAAACCCGGAGCUCAACUCCGGGCCUGCAGUCGAUACGGGCAGACUAGAGUGCAGUAGGGGAGACUGGAAUUCCUGGUGUAGCGGUGAAAUGACGCAGAUAUCAGGAGGAACACCGAUGGCGAAGGCAGGUCUCUGGCUGUAACUGACGCUGAGGAGCGAAAGCAUGGGGGAGCGAACAGG